CCCUUAGAUGUUCUGAGCCGCACGCGUGCUACACUGAGUGGAUCAGCGGGUCAGGUUGCGCGAAAGCGUUUCCUAAUCUUUAAAUCCGCUCGUGAUGGGGAUUGACGGUUGCAAUUUUCUGUCAUGAACGAGGAAUACCUUGUAAGCGCGGGUCAUCAUCCCGCGCUGAAUACGUCCCUGCCCUUUGUACACACCGCCCGUCGCUCCUACCGAUUGAGUGGUCCGGUGAGGCUUUGGGAUCUGAGCAAAGAGAGCGUUUCGCUCGUUUUGCCCGGAAAACUCAGUCGAACCUUAUCAUUUAGAGGAAGGAGAAGUCGUAACA
rnacentral:rRNA from 1 species